rnacentral:rRNA from 1 species
UCUUAUUAAGUAUAUAAAAAAUUAAAUGCUAAGGUAGUAUUAGAUAUAGGCUUGAAACUUAAAGAAUUUGGCGGUGUUUUAGUCUUUUCAGAGGAAUCUGUUCUAUAAUUGAUAGUACACGAGUUGAAUUACUUAAUUUAAUUUAAGUUUGUAUACCGCCGUCGAAAUGAUUAUCUUGAAGAGAGUAAAAAAUUUCUAGAAAAAUUAUUGGUUGUUAUGUCAGGUCAAGGUGCAGCUUAUAAUUAAGAAGAAAUGGAUUACAAUAUAAGAAUAUAAAUAAUGGAAUAAUUAUUAAAUAAAAUUAUGAAGGUGGAUUUGAUUGUAAAUUUAAUUAUUAUUAUUAAAUUGAUUAGAGCUCUAAAACAUGUACACAUCGCCCGUCGCUCUCGUUUAUUUAAUGAG